GAUGAACGCUGGCGGCGUGCUUAACACAUGCAAGUCGAACGAAGCACUUUAUUUGAUUUCCUUCGGGACUGAUUAUUUUGUGACUGAGUGGCGGACGGGUGAGUAACGCGUGGGUAACCUGCCUUGUACAGGGGGAUAACAGUUGGAAACGGCUGCUAAUACCGCAUAAGCGCACGGCAUCGCAUGAUGCAGUGUGAAAACCUCCGGUGGUAUAAGAUGGACCCGAGUUGGAUUAGCUAGUUGGUGAGGUAACGGCCCACCAAGGCGACGAUCCAUAGCCGACAUGAGAGGGUGACCGGACACAUUGGGACUGAGACACGGCACAAACUCCUACGGGAGGCAGCAGUGGGGAAUAUUGCACAACGGGCGAAAGCAUGAUGCAGCGACGCCGCGUGAGCGAAGAAGUAUUGCGGUAUGUAAAGCUCUAUCAGCAGGGAAGAUAAUGACGGUACCUGACUAAGAAGCACCGGCUAAAUACGUG
rnacentral:rRNA from 1 species